CCCAAUGGUUGUCAGCUGUCCAGGCUAGCACGAUGCCUGUGACGGUGUUACACUGUGGGAAGGGCAAGCGCUGCCCAGUGGGGUCUGGCUCCAAGCACCCUUUCAGGGUUGGAGUGGGCUGUCCCAUGGGCAGCAUUUUGCACCUAUUGGGAGUGGAAUGGCUCCUCCUGUGGAGCUGGUCCGAGUCUGGAUGCAAACAUU